rnacentral:rRNA from 1 species
UACGUAGGGGGCAAGCGUUGUCCGGAAUUAUUGGGCGUAAAGAGCGUGUAGGCGGUCCGGUAAGUCAGCUGUGAAAGUCAAGGGCUCAACCCUUGAAUGCCGGUUGAUACUGUCGGGCUAGAGUCCGGAAGAGGCGAGUGGAAUUCCCGGUGUAGCGGUGAAAUGCGCAGAUAUCGGGAGGAACACCAAUGGCGAAGGCAGCUCGCUGGGACGGUACUGACGCUGAGACGCGGAAGCGUGGGGAGCGAACAGG